UUUAAAAAAAAAAAACCCUGUACAUGUGGACAUGGCCUGCAACACACCUGUUCUCAUUGUUUUCUAGGCUGCACACAAAGCUCUACAUGACGAAGCUCCAUCUUGUCUUAUCUUGUACUGUAUUAUCCCCUGAGUCCACUUUGCUUUCAGAGCACAUGCUUACUUGUGGUUUCUAGUUUCCAGACACAGAAUGGGAGGAAGAGCCUUCAGCUAUCAGGCUCCUCUGCUGCGGGAUCAGCAGACAUCUUCUCUACGUUAGAGAUUAGAUUGAUUAUGUUCAUUUUGCCAUCUUUUUACAUUAGAUUAGCGUUUCUUUUUUUAACCUACAAAUUAGUAAAGAUGGGGGCUGCAUAUUGGCUCGGUGGUUCGCACUGAUGCCUUGCAGCUAAAAGAUCCCCAGUUUGUGUCCCGGCCUUCCCGGGAUCUUUCUGCAUGGAGUUUGCAUGUUCUCCCUGUGCAUGCGUGGGUUUUCCUGGGUACUCCGGCUUCCUCCCACAGUCCAAAAAUAUGCUGAGGUUAAUUGGUAACUCUAAAUUGUCUGUACAUGUGAAUGCAUGUGUGAUUGUUUGUCUCUGUGAAGCUCUGUGAUAGAAUGGUGACCUGUCCACGCUGUUCCCUGCCUUCACCCUAAAUCAGCUGGGAUAGACUCCAGCCCCUCCACGACCCUAAUGAGGAUUAAGCGGUGUGUAGAUGAUGGAUGGAUGGAUGGAUGGAUGGAUGGUUUUUCCUUCCUCAGAAGGGUCAUCUGACGUGUUGAUGAUGUGUCCUUUAUCAACAUGAACGUUGGAUCAAGGACAGAUUCUGACAGAUGUGUCAGGCCAGUCACCUGAUAAAAGACAUCUUUAAUACAUCAAAUGACGCUUCUGAGGGAGACUGGACAGCAGUCGAAACAUGUCAGCAAGCUUCUAGUUUGGGCUGCACAGGUAAGUAAUUAGUUAUACCUGCUAUAGGCCUAGACUUAUAGAAUGAUGGACUUCUACUCUUCUUUCUUUGUCUUCAUACAAUUACAUGUCAUAAUUGCAUGUCGUCCAGUUUGUCUUCUCUUCCCUGUAGUUUGUGUUUUGUUCUCACUGCAGAAAUCUGUGACUACACGUUUCUACAUGCAGACACAGAUCUCCAAAGUGUUAUUGUUCUCGAAUGCAUUUCUGUUUGCUAUCCUGUUGUCUCUCCCCUUCACCCUCGCCCGACUGGUCCAGGUAGACAGCUGUCCUCCCCAAGCCUGUUUCUGCCAGAGGUUUCUUUCUGAAAAAGAAGAGUUUUAUCUUCCCAUUGCUGCCAAGUGCUGCUCAAAGGGGAUUCAAAAAAAAACCCAAAAACUUUGGAUUUAUUGGGUUGCCUAAAGAUGAUAUGCAAUGAUGCUAUAUAAAUAAAAAGUACUAAAGUAACUAGAAAAGUCCUAAAAACAUGCAAACAUCUCAUAGUUUUGCUGCUGCUUUUAGUGAAAAUAAUACGUUUUGGGCUGUGGACCAGUAUAGCUAUUACUCAGUGGGCUGCACUUUGAUUUGUCUUACUGUAAUUAGCAUUAACUCCAGGGCUGAAACAUGCUU
ensembl:lncRNA